GGGCGUGGCCUAUCUCCACUAUAAAUACCGCCAACCGGGCGGCGCGGGCCCCUCUCGGCCACUGCCGCCAUAUUGGGGCCUUCCCCGGCCGCCGCCUCCAUCCGCCUCCAUCCGCCUCCAUCCGCCGCCCCCGCCCGCCCGGACUGAGCGCGGAGCCGCCGCCGCCCCGCCAUGAGGGCCAAGUGGCGCAAGAAGCGAAUGCGCAGGCUGAAGCGCAAGAGGAGGAAGAUGAGGCAGAGGUCCAAGUGACUGACCCCGCUGGGGCCGCGGCCCGGGGCCGUCUCGGUGACACCCUGGUGACACGCCGGUGACCUCCCGGGGCCGCGGGGGUCCCGCUGGGCCGGGCCCGUUCUCUCUGC
rnacentral:lncRNA from 1 species